rnacentral:snoRNA from 1 species
AAGCCUGACAACAGUAAAUCCAUGUUAUGAACCUUAAGGACAAUGAAGUUGUUAAAGUCCCUGAAAAUGGCUAGAACA